rnacentral:rRNA from 1 species
CAACCUGCCCACCACUUGGGGAUAACCUUGCGAAAGUAAGACUAAUACCCAAUGAUAUCUCUAGAAGNCAUCUGAAAGAGAUUAAAGAUUUAUCGGUGAUGGAUGGGGAUGCGUCUGAUUAGCUUGUUGGCGGGGUAACGGCCCACCAAGGCAACGAUCAGUAGGGGUUCUGAGAGGAAGGUCCCCCACAUUGGAACUGAGACACGGUCCAAACUCCUACGGGAGGCAGCAGUGAGGAAUAUUGGUCAAUGGACGAGAGUCUGAACCAGCCAAGUAGCGUGCAGGAAGACGGCCCUAUGGGUUGUAAACUGCUUUUAUAAGGGAAUAAAGUGAGUCUCGUGAGACUUUUUGCAUGUACCUUAUGAAUAAGGACCGGCUAAUUCCGUGCCAGCAGCCGCGGUAAUACGGAAGGUCCGGGCGUUAUCCGGAUUUAUUGGGUUUAAAGGGAGCGUAGGCCGGAGAUUAAGCGUGUUGUGAAAUGUAGAUGCUCAACAUCUGAACUGCAGCGCGAACUGGUUUCCUUGAGUACGCACAAAGUGGGCGGGAUUCGUGGUGUAGCGGUGAAAUGCUUAGAUAUCACGAAGAACUCCGAUUG